rnacentral:tRNA from 1 species
GGCUUCGUAGUGUAGUAGUCAGCACGCUCGACUCGUAUUCAAGAUGUCCGUGUUCCAGUCCCGGUGAGGUUA